GGGGUCGCAGUCGAGUCUCGCUGGCUCCCGCGCGAAACUCUGAGGGGACCGACUCUUUCUCGCCGGAGCGUGGCCUCAGCCACGUUGGUCCCCUCAGGCUCCUUCGUGUCCUUUCCCUGGGGCAACGCGAGGCGACGCGGGCCGGGACCGGCAGCCUUUCUGGUCCCAGGGACCCUCCCCAUCCUCUAACGUCUGAGCAGCCUGUACCCUGCGUGCAAUGUCUCAGUUUGCAGAAAUAAUAAAAGCACAUCAUCAACAGCUCAUGCAUUGCCUUCAUGUGGGCCCAGAGUACAAGCACAGAUGAAGAGCAGACACUGACUUCACACUUCUGACAGGUCACAGUUUGCUAAAAUAAUAAAAGGGCGUGAUCAAUAGCUCGUACAUUGCCUUGGUGUGGACCCAGAGUGCUAGCACAGAGGAAGAGCAGACACUGACUUCACACUUCUGAUAGGAACCAGUUUGGUAAUAAAAUCAAGGCAUGUGAUCAACAGCUUGUACAUUAUCUUGGUGUGGACCCAGAGAGCAAGCACAGACGAAGAGCAGACACUGACCUCACACUUCUGAUAGGUCUUCCUCAGUAGGAUCCACAGAAAGGGACCGAUGCCAUGCUCCAAAAGCUUCCACUUGAUGGCACUCUUGAGCCAGAAAUGUCAACUACCUUCUGGAGCUGGGCCUCUCCCUCCACCCUUUGUGUAUCAAAAAAGGCCCAUGGUGGCCAAAGAACCUUCCAAACCCUCCAAACUAUGUUAGCUCCAGUGGAGUGUUGGGGGAAGAGGUGUAGUCAGAAAAUCAAAGGGCGUGAUCAACAGCUCAUUUAGCCUUUUUGUGUUCCCAAAGCACAAACAGAGACGAAGAGCAGACACUGACUUCACACUUCUGAUGGUUCACAGUUUGGUAAGAAAGUCAGAGGUCGUGAUCAACCGCUCAUACAUUGCCUUGGUGUGGACCCAGAGUGCAAGAACAGAAAAAGAACAGACACUGACUUCACACUUCUGAUAAGUAUGUAAUACAGGCCUCAGUUGUGCUUUGAUUCUGUUUCCCCCUUCUGUACAGUAGGCUCCUCUCUCAAGGCAAGUGUCUCACCAAAUUUCCUCGGGUUAUUCUCUGGUUAGUAGUGUGUUCAGGUAUUUGUUGUUUUUGUUCAGUAGGUCAGUCAUGUCUGCCUCUCUGCAACCCCACCGACUGCAGCAUGCCAGGCUUCCCUGGCCAUCAGCAACUCCUGGAGCUUGCUCAAACUCAUGUCCAUUGAGUUGGUGAUGCCAUCCUAACAUCUCAUCCUCUGUGGUCCCAUUUUCUGCCUGCUUUCAAUCUUUCAGGUAUACUUAGUUACUAUAGUUGUUCAUCGUAGUGAUGAGAAGAGUUCUGCUUGUGCGAUUCACAUAUCAACCUAUUUGUAAGUUCCAACACCCCUGAACUCAGUUUAAAACUCAAGCCCAGAAAGGCCAUUAGUUUACUGGGUCCGAUUUCACACAUCUGAUAGGUAUGCAACAGAACUCCCGUGUGUACUUUGUGUUUUACUCCUUUCCCUUUUACAAAGAUGAGUUUCCUAAGUGUUUUAAACAAAUUUAUACUGGUGCCAUGGAGAUGCGUUAUUAAUGCUAUUAGUAAGCAAAGGCUUUGACUGUGUGGAUCACAAUAAACUGGAAAAUUCUGAAAGAGAUGGGAAUACCAGACCACCUGACCUGCCUCUUGAGAAACCUGUAUGCAGGUCAGGAAGCAACAGUUAGA